CUUCUUCAUGAGUUAACUCAUGAGGUUGUUGGGAGUAUUAAGAAGAAGUACUUCUAAUUCCUGAAGACCUCCACUACCUUUGGUCCUUUGGUCCUUUGUUCCUUGGUGGAAGAAGUUCAAGGAGUACAAGUGUGCACCAGGAAUAAAGGAUAUCAGCUAGAAGUUAUUAACCAUGCCAUCUGAGAUUCCUGCUUAAACGGAAGGAAGAUGGAAAAGACAGUGCCUGGAGAAUAAAGACUGCAGAUCAGUGAUAGAAUCUUUGGUUUAAGGAGAAGACAAGACCUGGAACAAUGGAGUCAAGUUAAUGGGAGGAAAGAGGUGUUCCAAGACUUGGGGUGAUAAAUGAAGACUGUUGCUGGUUUAACAUGCAAGUUACAUGCCUUGUGAAUAACUGAAGAUGGUAUGUCAUACCCUAAAGUGAUUCACUAGAAAAAGGAACAGAUUGAAAUUCAUUAUGUACCAAGUUUCAGUGAUAUGGCAAAAGGCAUUCAAAAAUCUCUUCUCUCAUGUCAUGAGAUAUAGCCAUACCUCCUUUCUCUAACCAGUUGUCCACAAAUGACAUUGAGAAACUCAGAAUAUGCUAAUGUGGUCUCGUAGGGAAACCACAGAUGGAGAUGGAAGUGGUAAAGAGAUGUGAAUCAUUUAUUGAAAGAAGAAGCUCAGCUCACAGCGAAAAAAAAAUGUGACAAUGAAUAUAUGUAUGUUCAUGUAUAAUUGAAAAAUUGUGCUCUACGCUGGAA